AACGUAGGUUCCGAGCGUUAUCCGGAUUUACUGGGCGUAAAGCGCGUUUAGGCGGUUCGGCAAGUCGGGCAUGAAAUCUCUCGGCUCAACCGGGAGAGGUUGUCCGAUACUGCUGGACUUGAGGGCAGUAGAGGGUGGUGGAAUUCCGGGUGUAGUGGUGAAAUGCGUAGAUAUCCGGAGGAACGCCAGUGGCGAAAGCGGCCCCCUGGGCUGUUCCUGACGCUCAAACGCGAAAGCUAGGGGAGCGAACGGG
rnacentral:rRNA from 1 species